UACGUAGGGUGCAGGCGUUAAUCGGAAUUACUGGGCGUAAAGCGUGCGCAGGCGGUUUUGUAAGCCAGAUGUGAAAUCCCCGGGCUUAACCUGGGAAUGGCAUUUGGGACUGCAAGGCUCGAGUGCGGCAGAGGAGACUGGAAUUCCUGGUGUAGCAGUGAAAUGCGUAGAUAUCGUCAAGAACACCUAUAGCGAAGGCAGCUUACUAGGCUGUAACUGACGCUGAGGCACGAAAGUGUGGGGAUCAAACAGG
rnacentral:rRNA from 1 species